rnacentral:rRNA from 1 species
UACGAAGGGGGCUAGCGUUGCUCGGAAUCACUGGGCGUAAAGCGCACGUAGGCGGCUUCUUAAGUCAGGGGUGAAAUCCUGGAGCUCAACUCCAGAACUGCCUUUGAUACUGAGAGGCUUGAGUCCGGGAGAGGUGAGUGGAACUGCGAGUGUAGAGGUGAAAUGCGUAGAUAUUCGCAAGAACACCAGUGGCGAAGGCGGCUCACUGGCCCGGUACUGACGCUGAGGUGCGAAAGCGUGGGGAGCAAACAGG